ACUGAUUAAGUUUGUUUUAAAUAUGAUAUUAGGGGUGUCAAGUUUUUGUUCAGUG
rnacentral:tRNA from 1 species